AAAUACAUUUCCCAUCAUGCACUUGGUUAAUAUCAGCCAAUCGGCGACCUGCUGCUAGGCGCGAGCGUAUAUAAAAGAGCACGGAACUCUUCUUUCUAUCUCUUCCUCCUCAAGACCUCCGCAGGAAAACUGUGCUCCAGAAAGAAUUUGGGCCAACAAGUAUUUCCGAGAAUCUCCUACCAUGGGUGUCUGCAUCAAACGCAGGUGUCACACUGAUGUGGAAGGUGGAAAAAAAGAAAAGGCCACAUCAUGUGAAGGUGAUCCUCCAGGCUGAUGAAGUGUGACCGACUAAAGCUGUGUGCUGUUAAGGCAUGAGUGAGAUCAACUGAUCUUCUGUCUGGUGUUGAGAGCUGAAUGUGCUCAUGUGUCCCUGGCUUGUGCAGGUCCAGUAACAUGAUGGGGCGGAGACCUGCCAGAAUUGGCACCACUGAAGGCCAUCCACAUUUAAUUGCCUUAAGAGGAAAGAUAAUGUGAUGUGCUCAUGAGAUGUCAAUUGUUAUACAAAUGAAGACUGUAC